AUGAGUUCCUCUGGGAAACAGAUUCCAGCAGAUACAAAUCUUAACUUUGGGCCCAGUACUAAAGACUCAGGUUCAGUGUUCAAGAGCCCUGGGAAAGCUCUGGAAUGGGUCGCAGGGAUCGCCACCAACACUGGCAGCACCUACUACGCGCCGUCAGUCAAGGGCCGGUUCACGAUCUCCAAGGACAACGGGCAGAGCUCGCGGGCGGCCGUGACCCUGCUGGAGUGCGGGGGGGACCUCCAGCCCCCCGGGGGGUCCCUGACUCUGCUCUGCCGCGCCUCCGGGUUUGAUUUUGGAAGCUCCUACAUGAGCUGGGUUCGGCAGAGCACCGGCAAGGCGCUGGAAUACCUUGGCUAUAUCAGCAGCAAUGGUGGCAACACCUACUACGCGCCGUCCGUCAAGGGCCGGUUCUCGAUCUCCAGGGACAACGGGCAGAGCUCGGUGACACUGACCAUGAACAACCUCAAGGACGAGGAUUCCGCCGUUUAUUUCUGUGCCAAAGAUGCAAGUGGUUAUGGUGGUUGGGUUGGUGAUUUUUUUGUGGUUGAUUUUGCUCCCAUCCAUAUCACUGUGUCCCCACGCGUCCCCAAAUGUCCCCAGACCCUUUCCCCAAACCCCAACUCUCGACCCGACCCUGAGCACUGA